UGGGGAAUUUUGGACAAUGGGCGCAAGCCUGAUCCAGCCAUGCCGCGUGCGGGAAGAAGGCCUUCGGGUUGUAAACCGCUUUCGGCCGGAACGAAAUCGCCCGGGUGAACAUCCCGGGUGGAUGACGGUACCGGAAGAAGAAGCACCGGCUAACUACGUGCCAGCAGCCGCGGUAAUACGUAGGGUGCGAGCGUUAAUCGGAAUUACUGGGCGUAAAGCGUGCGCAGGCGGUCUCGUAAGACAGGUGUGAAAUCCCCGGGCUCAACCUGGGAACUGCGCUUGUGACUGCGAGGCUGGAGUGUGGCAGAGGGAGGUGGAAUUCCACGUGUAGCAGAGAAAUGCGUAGAGAUGUGGAGGAACACCGAUGGCGAAGGCAGCCUCCUGGGCCAGCACUGACGCUCAUGCACGAAAGCGUGGGGAGCAAACAGG
rnacentral:rRNA from 1 species